UUAUUGACAUUGCCUUCAGCCAGUGGAAGUAAAUUACUUAGUGAAUCUGAAACACAGAGGAAGGCCCACAGAAAAGCCCUGAUCCCUCCAACAUCUCAAAGACCAACUCACUGACCUCAUUAUACAUGUACAGUGAAGGAAAGAGAUCCAGAGCUGGGUCAAUGAGUCUGGAACCAGAGGCUCCAGUGUCCUGCAAAUCUCCAAACAUCUCUACCCAUCUCGUGUACUGUCACACAGCCCAGAGUGGAGCGCUCUCUGGUUGGUAUCCUCUGAGAUGCCUCACCGUGAUCCCUACUUCUUGUGCUCUUGCGUGCUUGCUCUAAAGGAAGCCAGCCGCCAUAUUGUGAGCCGCCCAAGGGGAGAGCCACAGGGCAGGGAACGGAGGGUGGCCUCCAGCAAAUAGUCGGCAAGAGAAUGAGGCCUCCGGUCAUGCAGCCUCCAAGGAACUGAAUCCAGCCAACCACCUCGUGUGUGAGCUUGGAAGCUCAUGCUCCCCUAGUUGAGCCUUUAGAAGAGAUGACAGCCUGGCCAUCACCUCCAGCACAGCUCAGUGGAGGCCUUGACCCAGAGGCAGCCAGAUAAGCCA